ensembl:lncRNA
CCUGGAUGUGAGGGAUGAAUAGCAAAGAAACAGCUGGAAAUGAAACAAGACAGGUGCAGAAAGGAGAGGGAAGAAGGAAUUGAAAAUGACAACUCUGAAACUCAGUGCUCUGGAUGGAGUAAACGCAUGAGAAGUGAUACCAGGAAUUUUAGAAGGAAGCUGUCACAGGACUUAAUGGCACCCUAAUGCUGAUGUGUUCACCUUUACUAAAUAAUUUCCAGGAGUCAGUGAGCUGCCAAAGACAGGAGGAAGUUGACUGACUGUGCAGGAGACAGUAAAAGUGCCUAUACAGAGUGGGAAACAAACCAUAGUUUUGCAAAGCUUCUGUGGUCUGCUGAUGAAAAGUGGUGUAUAAAAGGUAGACGCUGUUCCAACAGAUGCCUCCGAGAACCCACCUACCAGCAACUGAGCUACAUAUUCAAGAGAGACUGCUUCAAGGAGACCAGCACUUGGAAGAUGGUAUUUUCAAAUAGUAAAAAUAAAAAAGCAUUUCCUAAAAUGUUGCUGGACAGGCAAUUCAGGUUGUAGG